AGCAAUCGCAGGUAAGAAUUAAUGCAUUUUUUAGUGUCCCCAUUUAUUGGUCCGUAACUGUAUAUUAAUAUUUUACUAUGUUUCAUGGCAGUUGUAUAGAAUUUAUUAUAUAUUUUAGCCAUUUCCAUUUCAAUUAUUUCACGCAAUCGCCAGUUUUGGUUGAUUAGAGAAAGUAAUGGAUGUCAUUUACUGUUUGCUUUGUUGCUGUGCUUGCUGUUGUCGCCAAAAAAGGAUGCCAAAAAGUACUUAAAGCCGAGAAUAAUUGUGAGAUGAGUGAGUGGUUCUAUUUUAUUCUUUUAUAUGGUUGGCAGCAAACAAAACCAAAACAAUUUAAAGAAGACUACCAUUAAAUGAGCAAAAGAGCUAUAAAAAAGCCACCAGCAAAUAAAUGAAAUGAUAGUUAAUAAUAGAAAAUAUGGCAAAGAAGUGGGUACACAAUAGCAGAAGACACAAUAACAAACAAUUGCAAUAAUAAAAGCAAACAAAAAGGCAACGAAAAGUAGGCAGCUUUGCAAAGAGAAAAAUCGGAGCGACGAAGUUGACUUACAAUAAGACUAACAACAAUCAAGAAAUACUAAAAACUGAGCACUUUUACAGUAGUUUAAAAAAUAUAAAAAUAAUAAAAAAAUGACAGCAGCAAGGAAAACAAACAGAGGUGCAAACUUUUUUCACUUUAUAUUCGUGUGAACGGAAGAGAUGCGGCAGGCGAUGAAAAAUGUGCAUAAACAAUUAAUAAAUCAGCAACAAUAGGAAGCAGCGGCAACAAUGAACCGCAAAGUAACGAAGUAGCGGCUUAAAACCGUAGCAACAGCAACAACAUCAGCAACUGAAGAGACAUUGACCUAAUUUAUUUAUUAAUUUUUUUUUUUUUUUUGAUAGUUUGAAAUUUUUAAUAUUUUUUUCGCGCACUUGAAAAUCGAAGCCACUUAUAAAAGAAAAAAUGAUUGGAAAUUAUGGCGACAAAAUGCACGUGAGCGCCAACGCAGAAAAUCUACUGUACUGAGAGUAGUUUAAGAAAAAUUCGGCACAGCACAAACAGAAAGUGCACACACAGCCUAAUAAAUGGUGUAUACCAAUUUUAUUAAUAUUAUUUUUUUAACAUUAUUUACUUGCUUCAGCCAGCCGGUAUAAAUAUUACGAUUUGACACGUAAAACGAUACACUCUCUUGUGGAAAUUUAACACACAAGAGAAAAUUAAUAAUAAAUAUAUACGAAAAUAAAAUACAAUACACAAGUCUGUAAACGAUUUUUUUUUUCCAAACUGUGCGCGCACGCCGUUUUGACUUUAGAAUCGAACUAAAACUUGGGCGGUGCACAAAAUUAACGGAAAGCGUCAGUGCGGUUAAAAAAGUAAAAAAAAAAAAGUAAGAACAAAAAACACAAACGAAAAAAAACGAAUCUAAUUUUAAUACAGAAUUAUUGCGGCGGCAGCGUGCUAAAUGGCUGGAGCCGAUGAUGAUGGCAGCAGCACGCCUGAGGUGAGUAGAGGUGAAUAAAGUAGGGCUUAGUCAGUCGCUAAGCUGCGUAAGAGGAUUGUGGGUGGACCGGAGGUAUUAAAUAAAUAUGGAAUAUUUGAGGGAGACAAAAAGAGCAGAAAUGAAAUGAGAAUGAAUCCGACAAAUACUUUUCGAGUUAUUCAACAAUUAAAAAAGAGCGUUCGAGAGCAAGUAGUCACAGCAGCACGUAUGCAAGUGGCAGAUAAGCACGCUAACGAUAACACUCGAGAAGGUAGAAUGCUCAUAGGCAACAGCAAACCGAUAUUUUGGAAGCUGCUAUGACGGCUGAAGAGCUAAUAUUAUAUGGCUGAGGAAUGGAUGACACAGUAUGAAUCUCCAAGGACUUGUUGAUCACCGCAAGGGACUUCUGGAGAAACGGGCUUCACACAAACAGCGAUAGCUUUUACAAUUAUUAAUAUUCUUUUUUGAAUUUUGCUAAUGUUAAGUCGAAACAUGAUGUAUUAAUGCUAUGUUUUUAUAUUUGUAAAAUAAAGCAAUUG